rnacentral:rRNA from 1 species
AUACAUAGGGGGCAAGCGUUAUCCGGAAUUAUUGGGCGUAAAGCGUGCGUAGGCGGUUUAUUAAGUCUGAUGUUAAAUCCCACAGCUCAACUGUGGGCUGCCAUUGGAAACUGGUAGACUUGAGUGCGGUAGAGGUAAGUGGAAUUCCAAGUGGAGCGGUGGAAUGCGUAGAUAUUUGGAGGAAGACCAGUGGCGAAGGCGGAUUACUGGGCCGUUACUGCCGCUUAGGCGCGAAAGCGUGGGGAGCAAAAAGGAAUAGGUUACCUGGUAGUUCACGUCGUAAACGAAUAACACUAAGUGUCGGAUGGAUUUUCGGCGCUGCAGUUAACACAAUAAGUGCUCCGCCUGGGGAGUACGGUCGCAAGACUGAAACUUAAAGGAAUUGACGGGG